rnacentral:lncRNA from 1 species
AGUAAUUCUCACUGCUUCUCUGUGAUACUGAUUAUUUCAGAGAUACUUACACUGAGAUAAAGAAAGAAGCCAACUGUCCAAUGGUAUCUCCAUGGCAAACAGACAGGAGUGCCUCAGUUCUCAGCUCACUGACCUUGUUCCUACAAGCUGAAGAUACAGACAUGGGGACCCUACCCACCAGGAAGGACAUCUGGACUAAAGAGAACAAGAAUACAGAUUGAUCUCUGCCAGGACAGGCACUGCCAGCAAUGAAAAUCAGUUAAAAAGAAGGCAGAAGAGAAUGGGUUGGUGUAUGCCUUGAAGAUGCAUCCCAUUAAUGGGAUACCUUUGGCAGCAGUGACCUCAGAAAACAUUAGGGAAGCAACAGUAGGUAUCAAGUAUAGCAGGUUUUAAUGCCUUUUACUGUACCUCCAAAAGUCAACAAAAUUAAGUAGAAGAUAAAUUGAAGCAGUAAUCCUAACAGCUCAAUUGAUAAUGCUUUUCUUAUUGCCUUUUUUUCUUCUUUUCUAAAAUGAAUAUUUCUUAACUUAGGAAAAAAAAGCAGGAGGCCUUUGUUCAGUGCUUAACACACUGCUACCCACUUUGUGGAUACAUACCACCUCCUGCACACUCUUGAGAGGCUGUUUCACAAUGCAAACAAGUAUUGCCGAUACUGACAAUUCCAGCACUCAAAAGCACAAGUGACGCAUUAAAAAUGCUCAGACUUAAUACCAUACAUUAAUGAAUUUCAAUUUGCCAUUUGGAUAUGGAUUUAAUUCAGAUGCUAAGCUGCCAAGAAGGCAUGCCUUCAUC